AACCACGAGCCUCUGAGGUCUUAGGUCACUUUCCUCACAGCCUCAAGCCCCUGCCAAGGUUCCUGGCCAGAAGGUCCUUUACUGUGCCCUUGGCCUGGGACCCAACCGGGACAUGUAUGACCCUUCUGGUCUCAGCUUAGAAGAUGGAGAAACAGAGAUGCAAGCAUUAACUUGCCUGUGUCACAGGGUAAGCAAAGAAACAGAACAAGGAUUAAAACUCAGGUCUCUACAAGCUCAACCCAGGGGCUAACAUCUUGUCUUCCAGGAGAGGAGCCCCACCAGCAGGUUGGUGAUGUUCUACAAUUCUAGCUACAUUUGUUUAUUUCCUGCAGAUGACUUGAAAGAAUUGGUUAUCUUGUCUCACCAUGCGGGUCCUGGGGAUUGAACUCCCAUCCCCAAGCUUGGUUGCAGUUGCCUUUUCCGACUGAACCAUCUCACCUGACCUGUUCUGAUUCUAUUAGUCUUCCUCACUUUCUCAACUAUAAAAUGUGGGUAGCUAACACAGUGUGGUGGCCCUUGAUCCCAGCACUGGGGAGGUAAUGCAAGAGGACAGGAAGUGGGAGACUAAUCUGGACUACGGGACCCAAAGGAAGAUGUAGCUCAGUGGUGAGCCUAGCAUGUAUAAAGCCAUGAAAGCAAUGUACUCUCUUCCCAGUACUGGCCCCUCAAAAGAUGAAAGAAUGCAAACAACUGUCCCCCGCUGGGAGGAUCUUGGUUCUUCCUGGGUCUGCUUGGCUGUCCAGCAGGUGAGUGUCUAUGCCUCAGAUUGCACCUCUCCUGUGGAGUCAGGAUCCUGCAUCUGCUCCGGAUGGACUCACCUCUCAGAGUUGCGGCCAGCAGGGUAGAAGACAUUAUUCAUGAUGAUGAAGUACUUCUGGGGACAGGGGUGGGGAGUGAGGGAAGCUUGGACAUCACCCUCCAGGAGCCCCCACUGCCGAGCCACCUCGCCGCCGCUACACCCACCUUUUUCUCACGAGCCACCCGCAGACUGUGCACUCCUGGAAGAGGAGAAGGCAAGCAGGUGAAGGCCUCUAACUCCACGUUCCCUGCUCCAGGGCUCGCAUCUUUCUCAAGACCGGCCCCGUUGCUGAGCCUGUGAAUCCAGGUCCUGCCCCAGACUCCCCUCCCUUCUCCUGAAUCUGUGUCUCAGGGACCUUAAGCCUUGCCUCAGUGAUAUCCCCGCCUAUAACCCCAAACCAGCCUCCCCACCCACAACCCCACCCUCCCCAGGCACUUUGCGGUUUAGGCCCCGCCCCGGCCGCAUACCCAGCAACCGUGCUAGCAGUGAGUGUGGGUACUGCUUCAGGUGCUGCAUGUAGCGGGGCAGGUGGGCGAGCAGCACCUGCACUUCCUGGCGGCGCUGGGUCUUCAGGAAGAAGCGUUGGUCAUGGCUGCGGGUGGGGACCAGGGGCCACUGUCCAGGCUUGGCUGGUGCAUUUCCCCCCUAGUCCCUGUUCUGCCCCUACUUUUGCCUGAGGGUGGGUGUGUCUGUUCCCCACUCCCUUGUUUCACCCCACCUUCGCCAGACCUGAUCCUCUCUGCUGAUGGCUGCUAUUUCUUUCCCAGGGCCAUUCCUCCAGUCCAGAACCAAGCCCCAGUCCUGCCCAACCCCUGCUGCCAGCUCACGUCAGGAAGAAGAUGGCCUUGCUCUUGGAGGUGCUGAGGAAUUGAAGGCUUUCAAACACUCGUGCUGGCUGUAUACAGCCAGAUGGCAUCCCAGUAAAAGAAAAUGGCCUUGAAGCCCAGUGAUCCCAGGUGUCGCCUGAGAGAGCCUGACUGGAGAAGGUGACCUGAGCAGAAAUCGGAAAGGGGGUAGAGAGGAGAAACAGAGUUCUUGAGGCCAACUCGUUUCUGCUUGUCUCGGAGGCGCCAAAAGAAGCCACCUCGGUUCCCUGAGGAAACUGUCAUGCUUGCAAUCUCCGGGGAGAAGGACAGGGUCUGAUGGGAAGAGACACAGGAAACAAAGGGCAUGCGGUGUUGUCUCAGAAGGAAAUGCACAGUCCCUACCUCCCGGCGCCCAAGGCUUGGCGUGGCCGCCAUCGCCCCCAGCUGCAGCUUCUCUGGCUUUGGUGGUGUCCCCGAGGUCCCGAUGCAGGAGUCAGGCCCCGCCUCCUCAUUGCGACAGACUCCUAGUGAAGUUGCCCGGCAUGAAAUCCGCAUUGACUGUCUCUUAGGUGAAGAAACUAAGAGCAGAAAAAGAAGUGACCCUCUCCAGAUCGACAGUCAGAGCAUCCUUCCGUGCGACUGAUGCACCCCCUGGGGGCCACAGCGGAGCUGCCAGACACCGGAGAUUUCGUGGUGAGCUAGCUAGAGGGACACAGCUUCUAGUGUGGUCUUCUAAAAGCAUAAAUCAGUGAUGUCACCCUUGUA